rnacentral:rRNA from 1 species
AACGUAGGUUCCGAGCGUUAUCCGGAUUUACUGGGCGUAAAGCGCGUUCAGGCGGUUUGGCAAGUCGGGCAUGAAAUCUCUCGGCUCAACCGGGAGAGGUUGUCCGAUACUGUCGUGACUUGAGGGCAGUAGAGGGUGGUGGAAUUCCGGGUGUAGUGGUGAAAUGCGUAGAUAUCCGGAGGAACACCAGUGGCGAAAGCGGCCACCUGGACUGUACCUGACGCUGACACGGCGAAAAGCUAGGGGGGGCGAACGGG